CAUGUAUACUGUAACUUUUGCUUGAUCGGUCAUGUAUACUGUAACUUUUCCCCCAAGGUCAUGUAUACUGUAACUUUUCCACCAAGGUCAUGUAUACUGUAACUUUUCCCCUAAGGUCAUGUAUACUGUAACUUUUCCCCCAAGGUCAUGUAUACUGUAACUUUUGCUUGAUCGGUCAUGUAUACUGUAACUUUUCCCCCAAGGUCAUGUAUACUGUAACUUUUGCUUGAUCGGUCAUGUAUACUGUAACUUUUCCCCAAAGGUCAUGUAUACUGUAACUUUUCCCCAAAGGUCAUGUAUACUGUAACUUUUCCUCCAAGGUCAUGUAUACUCUCACUUUUCCCCAAGGUCAUGUAUACUGUAACUUUUCCCCCAAGGUCAUGUAUACUGUAACUUUCUCCCCACACACUUAGUAAUACAUUAUUUAAGGUGAAGGUUGUACAGCGGGUAAUAUUAAAGGUCAGUUGGGAAUGCAUUUACAGUGAAACAAGGAUUAAACCAGCAAAUUUAAAAAGAAAAAAAGAAAAAAAGGAAAAACAACCACAGGCUAACCUCUUCCUGAAACUCUAAAUGAUAUAUGUACAUGUAGCCAAACUUUAUUGCUAUCAACCUUAUAUUAGAUUAAAUUAAACACACAGAGGUCACCAUACACUUAAAGCAACAACCUAAUGUGACUUAUAGAAAUAACAACUUAAAUUGAGAAUGGAAAUGGGGAAUAUGUCAAAGAGACAACAACCCGACCAAAGAGCAGACAACAGCCGAAGACCACCAAUGGGUCUUCAAUGCAGCGAGAAAAUUCCGCACCCGGAGGUGGUCCUCAGCUGGCCCCUAACUAAAAUUGUGUGCUAGUUCAGUGAAAAUGGACGUCACACUAAACUCCAAAACAUAUAAAUGAACUAAAAUUAAAAAACAUACUAGACUAACAAAGGCAAGAGGCUCCUGACUUGGGACAGGCUCAAAAAUGAGGCGGGGUUAAACAUGUUUUGUGGGAUCUCAACCCUCCUCCUAUACCUCUAGCCAAUGUAGAAUAAAGAAACACAUAGCAAUACGCACAGUAAAACUCAGUUUAUAGAAGUCCGAGUCCGAUGUCAGAAUAGGUAACAAAAGAAACUACUAGUAAGCAAAAUAACAAUACUCAAAUUUAACAAAAACAAUAUGCAGUAAGACGUCACCAAACGUUAUUUACACCGAACUAAUGUGUCAAAUGAAACUAAAAAGACACCCAGAGGUAACCAUAGGUUAUAAACACCAAACUGAUGUGGCAAAUUCAAAUAGGGGUCACAAUGUGUUAGAGACGCACGCAAAAACUUUUAGAGGCAAAUUCAAUCAAAUAUAUAACCAAAGGUCACUUUACGCUAAAACAACAACCUUAUGUUGCAACUAAAAGACACACAAAGGUUAAGAUACGCCUAAACGCCAAACGUAUGUUGCAAAUU